GAUGAACGCUAGCGGCAGGCCUAAUACAUGCAAGUCGAACGGGAUCUGAGGGUAGCUUGCUACCCGAUUUGAGAGUGGCGCACGGGUGCGUAACGCGUGAGCAACCUACCCAUAUCAGGGGGAUAGCCCGAAGAAAUUCGGAUUAACACCGCAUAAUAAUACGCUAACACAUGUUGAUGUAUUUAAAUAUUUAUAGGAUAUGGAUGGGCUCGCGUGACAUUAGCUAGUUGGUAAGGUAACGGCUUACCAAGGCGACGAUGUCUAGGGGCUCUGGGAGGACAAGCCCCCACACGGGUACUGAGACACGGACGAGACUCCUACGGGAGGCAGCAGAAAGGAAUAUUGGUCAAUGGGCGCAAGCCUGAACCAGCCAUGCCGCGUGCAGGAUGACUGCCCUAUGGGUUGUAAACUGCUUUUGUUAGGGAAUAAACCUUCUUACGUGUAAGGAGCUGAAUGUACCUAAAGAAUAAGGAUCGGCUAACUCCGUGCCAGCAGCCGCCGUAA
rnacentral:rRNA from 1 species